rnacentral:rRNA from 1 species
GACGAACCGUGCGAACGUUGUUCGGAAUCACUGGGCUUAAAGGGUGCAUAGGCGGGGUGGCCAGUCUGGGGUGAAAUCCCACGGCUCAACCGUGGAAUUGCCUCAGAUACUGCCGACCUCGAGGGAGGUAGGGGCGAGCGGAACUGUGGGUGGAGCGGUGAAAUGCGUUGAUAUCCACAGGAACUCCGGUGGCGAAGGCGGCUCGCUGGGCCUCUUCUGACGCUGAGGCACGAAAGCUAGGGGAGCAAACGGG